rnacentral:rRNA from 1 species
UUCCGGUUGAUCCCGCCGGACCCGACUGCUAUCAGAGUGGGACUAAGCCAUGCGAGUCGACGUAGCAAUGCGUGGCGAACGGCUCAGUAACACGUAGUCAACAUGCCCAGGGGACGUGGAUAACCUCGGGAAACUGAGAAUAAACCACGAUAGGUCACGAUUUCUGGAAUGGAUCAUGGCAUAAAUCUACAUGGCCCCUGGAUUGGACUGCGGCCGAUCAGGCAGUUGGUGAGGUAAUGGCCCACCAAACCUAUAACCGGUACGGGCUCUGAGAGGAGAAGCCCGGAGAUGGGCACUGAGACAAGGGCCCAGGCCCUAUGGGGCGCAGCAGGCGCGAAACCUCUGCAAUAGGCGAAAGCCUGACAGGGUUACUCUGAGUGAUUUCCGCUAAGGGGAUCUUUUGGCACCUCUAAAAAUGGUGCAGAAUAAGGGGUGGGCAAGUCUGGUGUCAGCCGCCGCGGUAAUACCAGCACCCCGAGUGGUCGGGACGAUUAUUGGGCCUAAAGCAUCCGUAGCCGGUUCUGCAAGUCUUCCGUUAAAUCCAGCCGCUCAACGGAUGGGCCGCGGAGGAUACUAUAGGACUAGGAGGCGGGAGAGGCAAGCGGUACUCAGUGGGUAGGGGUAAAAUCCUUUGAUCCAUUGAAGACCACCAGUGGCGAAGGCGGCUUGCCAGAACGCGCUCGACGGUGAGGGAUGAAAGCUGGGGGAGCAAACCGGAUUAGAUACCCGGGUAGUCCCAG